rnacentral:rRNA from 1 species
CAAUAGCGUAUAUUAAAGUUGUUGCGGUUAAAAAGCUCGUAGUUGGAUUUCUGCUGAGAACGACCGGUCCGCCCAUUGGGUGUGUAUCUGGCUCUUUCUUGGCAUCUUCUUGGUGAACGUUACUGCACUUGACUGUGUGGAGCGCUACCCAGGACUUUUACUUUGAGGAAAUUAGAGUGUUUCAAGCAGGCAUACGCCUUGAAUACGUUAGCAUGGAAUAAUAAGAUAGGACCUCGGUUCUAUUUUGUUGGUUUCUAGAGCUGAGGUAAUGAUUAAUAGGGAUAGUUGGGGGCAUUCGUAUUUAACUGUCAGAGGUGAAAUUCUUGGAUUUAUGAAAGACGAACUUCUGCGAAAGCAUUUGCCAAGGAUGUUUUCAUUGA